rnacentral:sRNA from 1 species
CGUCUGCUUCCCCGCCGGACUUUAUAUUUCCUUGAACCAAUGCUCAUUGAGCCCGGGUUUGGAACAUUGCCAGGCAAGCGUGAUCGUCUCGCGUCAGAUGAACCCAAUGCCGGGCUGACCUUACCCACCUGACCCUCCGGUUCAGGCUGACGGUUCGGCGGAUCGAAGCAGACAC